rnacentral:tRNA from 1 species
GGCGCUGUAGCUCAGUGGUAGAGCAUUGCUUUCAUGCGGCAGGGGUCGAAGGUUCAAAUCCUUUCAGCGUCA